rnacentral:lncRNA from 1 species
UUUAUGCAAGAAUAAAUUCGGGUUUUCACGGCGGGGUUCUCCGUGGUUCUGUUUCCGUCGUUUUCGGCGUCGGUGUCUGUUUUCCCGGCUGCGACGCGUCGGCGGAUGGCGGCGGUGAGGCCGUACAUUGCGGCGGCGACGGAGGUGAGGCAGCCAGCGGCGCGGUGGGCCUUGAGGAGGAGGACCCAGGUGAGCUGCUUGGCGUUCUUGUUCCGGGCCUUUUCCGGGUAACGGGUCCGGUUCGGGUCCUCGCCGGAGCCUUGUAGAAAGUCCUCGUCGGACGGCGACUCGAGCUCCACCAUGGACCAGUUGUUGGGGUUCUCCAUCUUCACCACCAC